AUGGGGGAAUUACCCGACAAAGGGAGCAAGGUGUGGGUUCCAGGCAGAAGCCUCAGCAUUGCGGAGGCUGACCGGGAAGCGGCAUCCACUGAGGAUGAGUCACUGCAGAAAGCCGACAGUGAGGGACAGCCACUGCGGACAAGGCGGGCACACUGGCAGGAAGGGCCGUUCUCGCCACAUCAAGGUUUGGACCAUAGGAAACGUAGGGGGAGACAAGGGAGGCUGCCCAGUGUGCAGGGAGACCCACACCCCUCGCUAACAAUCAGAGGAGUCGUUUUUACAGAGGUCUGGACACUGAGCUUCCUGAAAACAAAGAUUUCAGGGAGGGAAAACGUACGUCAGUAGCAGCAGCUCCUCCGAUGUGAAGAGGCACAAUAUUAACAAGGGGCUUACGUCGAAGAGAGACGAGACUGUGACUUCAUUUAAGCCACCGGGUAAAUGCAUUUCCCCCCUAAUUUCAGCCUUGGGUGCACUGCGUCCACUGGCACCGACCGCAUGGGUCUCAAGUCACUUUCAAGCAUAAAGCUGUUUAUCCUUAACUCGGCUGUGGGCUGCAGGGGGCUGGGCUGCACCCUUUGUUUGGGACGGUGGUUUCCAGCGCGGGGGCUGCAUCCCACCAUCAGACUGGGGGCUGCUUGGGGUGGAGACUAGACCCACCCACUCACUCCUCAGCCUUUCACAGGCCACCUGCCCUGUGCCUGCAGGGACAGGGGUGCGGAUUCAGAGCUGAAUCUGACACGGCCCUGCCUUUGAGCUGAGGGGCUCUAUUGCGGUCACAGCCACAGGGAUGAGCCUAGUGGGAUGUAGCGUGGGGUCUUGAGGGCAAGGCGGGGGCUCUGAGCCAGGAAGUGGGUGCUCUAUUUUCUCCCCCCCUCCUGCUGCUUGCUCAUUUGCUUGUUCCUUCCUUUGUUCAAAGGAAACCCGGGGAGGGAAGCACACUGUUGGGGAAUUCCAUGUCCAGGGAGGAUGGACACCUGGCCGGCAGAGCGGAACGAGACCUACAGGUCCUCCUCCUCCAGGAAGCCUGCCUUGACGGCUCAGCGCCAGCAGCACCCCCUUCUCAGUCUGACUACACUUCCGGGGCCCGGCCGCGCAUGUUUCCCACUAAGCCCUGAGGUAUCUGACGACAGAAACUGUUUUCUUCCUUUCUCGGGACUGGGCCCCAGUGGGAACUUGACCAUGGCCUUCUGAUUUGGGAGGCAGGUCAGGGAAGUGGUGAGACCUGCCCUGGAUGCUGGGCCCCGUCAGAUGAGUUGGGGAGAGGUGGCCCGAGCAGGCGAGUGACAUCCAAGAGAUGAGGGCUCUGUCUGUCCCCGAGGGAGGGAGUUGACGGCGGGGUGAGCAGCCUGGGAGAGACAAGACCAUGUGCAGCAGGCGGCAGCUGCCGUGGGGUCUGCAGGAGGCGACCUCGCAUCUCUGUGCCUUUAAAUGGAACCGGAACCGCAAAACCGAGAUACCCAGGGCGGGUCGCUGCAAGAGAGAAGGCGGCCACCUCACUCCCCACAGAACCAUCCUCAUGGCUUUACGUGCACGGCCCAGUAAUGAAGAGAAUCUACCAGACCCAAUAUAAUCCGAAAUUAAAGAAAAAUGGAAUGCAUUAAAAAUGCAUUGCCCUGCUAAUGGAAGAUGUCAGCUCGACAGCCGGCACUGCACACGUCAUGCCAGGAUCCGGGCGAGGAAGCGCCUCCUGGCCUCCCCGCUGGCCUGACGGUUCCAAACCACAGAACAAACCCAGGGCUGGGGUGACCCACCUGAGAUGACGCAGUCUACCGCCCCCUCCACCCCAGGGUCCUCCAGCUUCUCGGGAGCCGCCUCCAGGCUGUCAGGCAAUCAGCUUCUCGCUCUGUCCUCAGACACCUUCUCUGUGCCCACGGCUCUUACCUGGACAGCCAGGCACCUGCUCUGUGCCCACAGGCUCUUACCUGGGUAGCCAUCUCUGCUUCCCACUUCCUCACUCCUCCAGAUGGCUGAGACUUAUUUCUUAAAGGGCCUCUGUUGGCACCAUUCAGAUGUCCUGGGAGGAAAAUCAGGGUUUGUAGGAGACACUUAGACCCUGGAUGGACCUCUCUGGGGCCACGCUGCUGUGCAGGGCCCCCUGGGUUGUUCACUGAGGACAGAAUCCCUGAGUGGCCUCUGUGGUCUCCGCUCUGGCCUUCUUCCCUGUUCUGCCCAGGUGGCCCUUCCUGACACCAGAGACGGCAUGGGACUCGUGCCUCAGUGGUCGCAGGUCUGCACCUCCUGGUCACAGGGCUGGCUCCGGGGUGAGCAUGUGACUUCAGCUCGUCCAUCAGUGCGGGCGUCAGCACGGCAGCUGACUCUUGGAGUAGGUUGUACUCUCCUGAUGCGUGUGAAGCUGCAGCCAUUUUAUGACCACGAGGGAUCUGGAGGCAUGGCCAUGGAUCCCGGAGGUCCUGGCUCAUCUCGUGAAGCUGGGGGAUGAAGCCAGUGUGGCUGGCGGCAGAGCUGAGCGUUGGGGAGAAGCUGAGCCCUCGCUUCUGUUAAGCCCAGGACUUCCUGUUAUGUAGAAUCUCCCUCCCUCUCGCUCUCUCUCUCACCUGCAUCCAUCUUUUCUUUCCUUGAGCCAGUUUGAAUGAUCUCUCUCCCCGACUGCGUCCCCACCUGCUGCAGAAGCGGGCUCCUCGGCUGUGACUGAGUUGGGCCAAGAGGGAUGCAAUUGGGCCCAGGGGACUUGCCAGCCCGACAAGGGGAGCAGAGAGGAGGGGCGGGGAGGGUUGCCCGGUGUGAGCUGUCUGGGUGCUCAGAUGGAAGGGAGGGCAUGGGGGAUGAGGGGAAGAGGGCACAGCUGGGAGACAGAGAGAAAAGGGAGCCAGAGACAGGUGGAGAGGGGGGCAGAGACAGAGAAGGGGGAGGGAAAGACCCCUCUAACAUCUUGAGCCCUCGCUUCUGCUUUAUUCUGUUAGAAAUUAGCGGUUAAACGCCGCCCACAUUCGAGGGGAGGGGAGUUAGGGCCCACCUCCGGAGGGAGAAGCCUCCAAGAAUCUGCAGACAACCCAAGCUGCCCAGGUCAGAGCCAGGGUUUGGUCUGAUGCUCCCUGUAGGAGCGCUUCCUCUGGGCCGAGCCCACCCCUCGCAGUGGCUGCCCCGCCUGCUGGCCAGGUGCCUCCCCUCACUGGUGGCCCCCUCCAAGUUGUCUCUCUGUGUAGGGGGGCACCAGCUGCCACCUUGCGAGGACCCCAGGCAGCUGUGUGGAGAGACCCCUGGGGUGGGAGCCGAGGCUCCUGUCGGUGACUCACCCUGGACGAAGGUCCUCGGGCCCCGGUCCAGCCGUGGAUGAGGCGGCCCUGGCCGAGGUCUUCACAGCAGCCUCACAGCGGGCCCGCAGCCAGCAUCGCCCGGCUCAGCCAUCUCUGAAUUCCUCAUCUCAGAAACAACCUGCGGUCGUGGAGCUGGGGAGACACAGGCCUUCCGCUGUCAGUAGGUCAGGCGACUUCUCCGAGGCUCCAGCUUCUGAACAUGUCUGUCCAGUGUGAACAAGCCUGUGUGUAGCUUGGCUGACGAGAUGGUGAAGAAAGAAACCCGCAAAGAGGGCUGAGCACAGCUCCCGGCCGCAGCGAGGGCGCGGGGAGUCGCAGGGUGGCUCUGUCAUUGUGUUUGGCAGUCAUGUCAGCUGGCAGGGUGACACCCAGGGCACAACAGAGCAGCCACUCUGCUGCCAUGACAUGUGACCUCUCAGAGAGCUGUGCUGCGCUGUGGCCAACAGCGUGGGGAUAGGCUGAGCACCAGCAGUGCCAGCUCCUAGCUGCACCGGCUUGGAUGGGAUGCUUACCUUGCUAAGCUGGGCAUCCUCAGCCUUAAAAGGGAGCCGGGGAAAGUGACCGGUGGGUUAGUGGCAGGGAUUGCAUGGACUUGGGUGUGCCCUCUCCAUGGCAUCUAGCCAGGGGCAAAGGACUGGCAUCCUCGGGAGAUGCUGAAGGAAGAUAAGGAUGCCCGGAGCAGAAGACGGGGGCUGGGCCCCCGCAGAUGGAGGGCAGCAGGAGCCGUGGGGCAUCCUGGGAAAAUCCAGAGCUGAGCUCCCAGGAGGCUGAUGGGGAGGCUGGGGGAGGGGUGUGGGAAGGAGGCUGCCCUCUGGCCCCCAGGGUGUGGCUCCGGCCUGCAGCAGCUGGACCUGUAGGGACACAGCUCAGUGGUCCCCUCCUCGGGGGGUUGGAGGGGCCAGCUCAGGUGUUGCUUUCCUUUGCAGAACUGAAACGUUCUUUUUUUCUUUUUCUCUUCUAUUUUCACUCUGGCCAAUUAGUGCAUCUCAGGCUGGUGAAAACAAGAAGCACAGAAGAAAGCAAUUGAGAGAGGGCACAGAAGCCCCGGCACUGGCUCUGGGUGAGCAGGCAUUCUGCCAAGCGCGGCUCUUCCGCUCUCUUCCGCUCGGCUGUAAGGACAGUGACCACGAGCCUCCC
rnacentral:lncRNA from 9 species